rnacentral:rRNA from 1 species
GAUGAACGCUGGCGGCGUGCUUAACACAUGCAAGUCGAACGAAGCACUUUAUUUGAUUUCCUUCGGGACUGAUUAUUUUGUGACUGAGUGGCGGACGGGUGAGUAACGCGUGGGUAACCUGCCUUGUACAGGGGGAUAACAGUUGGAAACAGCUGCUAAUACCCCAUAAGCGCACAGCAUCGCAUGAUGCAGUGUGAAAAACUCCGGUGGUAUAAGAUGGACCCGCGUUGGAUUAGCUAGUUGGUGAGGUAACGGCCCACCAAGGCGACGAUCCAUAGCCGACCUGAGAGAGUGACCGGCCACAUUGGCACUGAGAAACGGCCGAAACUCCUACGGGAGGGAGCAGUGGGGAAUAUUGCACAAUGGGCGAAGGGCUGAUGCAGCGACGCCGCGUAAGCGAAGAAGUAUUUCGGUAUGUAAAGCUCUAUCAGCAGGGAAGAUAAUGACGGUACCUGACUAAGAAGCACCGGCUAAAUACGUG